rnacentral:rRNA from 2 species
UAGGGAAUCUUCCGCAAUGGGCGAAAGCCUGACGGAGCAACGCCGCGUGAGUGAUGAAGGUCUUCGGAUCGUAAAACUCUGUUAUUAGGGAAGAACAAAUGUGUAAGUAACUAUGCACGUCUUGACGGUACCUAAUCAGAAAGCCACGGCUAACUACGUGCCAGCAGCCGCGGUAAUACGUAGGUGGCAAGCGUUAUCCGGAAUUAUUUGGCGUAAAGCGCGCGUAGGCGGUUUUUUAAGUCUGAUGUGAAAGCCCACGGCUCAACCGUGGAGGGUCAUUGGAAACUGGAAAACUUGAGUGCAGAAGAGGAAAGUGGAAUUCCAUGUGUAGCGGUGAAAUGCGCAGAGAUAUGGAGGAACACCAGUGGCGAAGGCGACUUUCUGGUCUGUAACUGACGCUGAUGUGCGAAAGCGUGGGGAUCAAACAGG